UCCCUCCACGCCGCCAGGGGGCGCGCGGCCCUGGUGCUGCGCCUGCGCGGCGGUUCGAACGCGAUGGCGGCGGCGAGAGGGUGAAGGAGCGGGCGCGUCUCGCCGCCCGUCUCCUCAGGCGUUUCCAGGUGCCGUUGUCAUCUCUCGCUCUGUCUUUGCAGGAUGUCCGCGCCUGCGAGCCACCCUACCGCUACGGCGGCGGGCGGAGAAGCGCCGAAAACUAAGCAGAAAGGAGGAAGGAUCGUGAAGUCUCGCUACCUGCAGUACGACAAGAAAGACGUCAGGAAGGUACUUGGACGCCUCCCUGCCGAGCUCAAACGUCGCUCAGCAAAGGGAUACUCCAACAAAUUCCUUUUCCAUAUCUACUGGUAA
rnacentral:lncRNA from 1 species